AUUGAACGCUAGCGGCAGGCCUAACACAUGCAAGUCGAGCGGAUGAAGGGAGCUUGCUCCUGGAUUCAGCGGCGGACGGGUGAGUAAUGCCUAGGAAUCUGCCUGGUAGUGGGGGAUAACGUCCGGAAACGGGCGCUAAUACCGCAUACGUCCUAAGGGAGAAAGUGGGGGAUCUUCGGACCUCACGCUAUCAGAUGAGCCUAGGUCGGAUUAGCUAGUUGGUGGGGUAAAGGCCUACCAAGGCGACGAUCCGUAACUGGUCUGAGAGGAUGAUCAGUCACACUGGAACUGAGACACGGUCCAGACUCCUACGGGAGGCAGCAGUGGGGAAUAUUGGACAAUGGGCGAAAGCCUGAUCCAGCCAUGCCGCGUGUGUGAAGAAGGUCUUCGGAUUGUAAAGCACUUUAAGUUGGGAGGAAGGGCAGUAAGUUAAUACCUUGCUGUUUUGACGUUACCAACAGAAUAAGCACAGGCUAACUUCGUG
rnacentral:rRNA from 1 species